AUUGAACGCUGGCGGCAGGCCUAACACAUGCAAGUCGAAAGAGUGGCGGACGGGUGAGUAAUGUAUGGGAAAAUGCCUGAUGGAGGGGGAAAACUACUGGAAACGGUAGCUAAUACCGCAUACCAUCGGACGUGACCAGAUGGGAUUAGCUAGUAGGUGGGGUAAAGGCUGACCUAGGCGACGAUCCCUAGCUGGGCUGAGAGGAUGAACAGCCACACUGGAACUGAGAUACCGUCCAGACUCCUACGGGAGGCAACAGUUGUGAAUAUUGCACAAUGGGCGCAAGCCUGAUGCAGCCAUGCCGCGUGUGUGAAGAAGGCCUUCGGGUUGUAAAGUACUUUCAGCGGGAAGGCGUUACCCGCAGAAGAAGCACCGGCUAACUCCGUGCCAGCAGCCGCGGUAAUAC
rnacentral:rRNA from 1 species